rnacentral:tRNA from 1 species
GCGGCUGUAGCUCAGUUGGUUAGAGCACUUGAUUGUGGUCCAAGGGGUCGUGAGUUCAAUUCUCAUCAGCCGCC